rnacentral:rRNA from 1 species
AUUGAACGCUGGCGGCAGGCCUAACACAUGCAAGUCGAGCGAGAGGCGGACGGGUGAGAAAUGUCUGGGAAACUGCCUGAUGGAGGGGGAGAACACCUGGAAACGGUAGCUAAUAUCGCAUACCAUCAGAUGUGCCCAGAUGGGAUUUGCUAGUAGGUGGGGUAACGGCUCACCGAGGCGACGAUCCCUAGCUGGUCUGAGAGGAUGACCAGCCACACUGGAACUGAGACACGGUCCAGACUCCUACGGGAGGCAGCAGUGGGGAAUAUUGCACAAUGGGCGCAAGCCUGAUGCAGCCAUGCCGCGUGUGUGAAGAAGGCCUUCGGGUGGUAAAGCACUUUCAGCGGGGAGGCGUUACCCGCAGAAGAAGCACCGGCUAACUCCGUGCCAGCAGCCGCGGUAAUAC